rnacentral:rRNA from 1 species
UACGAAGGGGGCUAGCGUUGUUCGGAAUUACUGGGCGUAAAGCGUGCGCAGGCGGCUUCUCAAGUCAGGGGUGAAAGCCCAGAGCUCAACUCUGGAAUUGCCUUUGAGACUGAGUGGCUUGAGUACGAGAGAGGUGAGUGGAAUUCCCAGUGUAGGGGUGAAAUUCGUAGAUAUUGGGAAGAACACCGGUGGCGAAGGCGGCUCACUGGCUCGUAACUGACGCUCAGGCGCGACAGCGUGGGGAUCAAACAGG